GACGGGGCCCGCACAAGCGGCGGAGCAUGCGGAUUAAUUCGAUGCAACGCGAAGAACCUUACCAAGGCUUGACAUACACCGGUAACGCCCAGAGAUGGGUGCCCCUUUGUGGUCGGUGGACAGGUGGUGCAUGGUUGUCGUCAGCUCGUGUCGUGAGAUGUUGGGUUAAGUCCCGCAACGAGCGCAACCCUCGUCCUAUGUUGCCAGCGGGUCAUGCCGGGGACUCAUGGGAGACUGCCGGGGUCAACUCGGAGGAAGGUGGGAUGACGUCAAAUCAUCAUGCCCCUUAUGUCUUGGGCUUCACGCAUGCUACAAUGGCCGGUACAAAGGGCUGCGAUACCGCGAGGUGGAGCGAAUCCCAGAAAGCCGGUCUCAGUUCGGAUUGGGGUCUGCAACUCGACCCCAUGAAGUCGGAGUCGCUAGUAAUCGCAGAUCAGCAACGCUGCGGUGAAUACGUUCCCGGGCCUU
rnacentral:rRNA from 1 species